CGCUGGCGGCAGGCUUAACACAUGCAAGUCGAGCGGGGGAAGGUAGCUUGCUACCGGACCUAGCGGCGGACGGGUGAGUAGUGCUUAGGAAUCUGCCUAUUAGUGGGGGACAACAUCUCGAAAGGGAUGCUAAUACCGCAUACGUCCUACGGGAGAAAGCAGGGGAUCUUCGGACCUUGCGCUAAUAGAUGAGCCUAAGUCGGAUUAGCUAGUUGGUGGGGUAAAGGCCUACCAAGGCGACGAUCUGUAGCGGGUCUGAGAGGAUGAUCCGCCACACUGGGACUGAGACACGGCCCAGACUCCUACGGGAGGCAGCAGUGGGGAAUAGUGGACAAUGGGGGGAACCCUGAUCCAGCCAUGCCGCGUGUGUGAAGA
rnacentral:rRNA from 1 species